rnacentral:rRNA from 1 species
CAAGUCGAACGGCAGCGCGGGGGCAACCCUGGCGGCGAGUGGCGGACGGGUGAGGAAUACAUAGGAAUCUACCCUGUCGUGGGGGAUAACGUAGGGAAACUUACGCUAAUACCGCAUACGACCGAGAGGUGAAAGCGGCGGACCGCAAGGCGUCGCGCGGCUGGAUGAGCCUAUGUCCGAUUAGCUAGUUGGCGGGGUAAGAGCCCACCAAGGCGACGAUCGGUAGCUGGUCUGAGAGGAUGAUCAGCCACACUGGGACUGAGACACGGCCCAGACUCCUACGGGAGGCAGCAGUGGGGAAUAUUGGACAAUGGGCGCAAGCCUGAUCCAGCAAUGCCGCGUGGGUGAAGAAGGCCUUCGGGUUGUAAAGCCCUUUUGUACGGGAAGAAAUCCUGUCGGUUAAUACCCGGCGGGGAUGACGGUACCGUAAGAAUAAGCACCGGCUAACUUCGUGCCAGCAGCCGCGGUAAUACGAAGGGUGCAAGCGUUAAUCGGAAUUACUGGGCGUAAAGCGUGCGUAGGCGGUUGGUUAAGUCUGUCGUGAAAGCCCUGGGCUCAACCUGGGAAUGGCGAUGGAAACUGGCCAGCUAGAGUGUGAUAGAGGAUGGCGGAAUUCCCGGUGUAGCGGUGAAAUGCGUAGAGAUCGGGAGGAACAUCCGUGGCGAAGGCGGCCAUCUGGAUCAACACUGACGCUGAGGCACGAAAGCGUGGGGAGCAAACAGGAUUAGAUACCCUGGUAGUCCACGCCCUAAACGAUGCGAACUGGAUGUUGGGCUCAACUCGGAGCUCAGUGUCGAAGCUAAC